rnacentral:rRNA from 1 species
CCUACGGUCGUCAGCAGUGAGGAAUAUUGGUCAAUGGACGAGAGUCUGAACCAGCCAAGUAGCGUGAAGGAUGACUGCCCUAUGGGUUGUAAACUUCUUUUAUAAAGGACUAAAACGAGGCAAGUGUGCCUUUUUGCAUGUACUUUAUGAAUAAGGAUCGGCUAACUCCGUGCCAGCAGCCGCGGUAAUACGGAGGAUCCGAGCGUUAUCCGGAUUUAUUGGGUUUAAAGGGAGCGUAGAUGGGUUGUUAAGUCAGUUGUGAAAGUUUGCGGCUCAACCGUAAAAUUGCAAUUGAUACUGGCAGUCUUGAGUACAGUUGAGGUAGGCGGAAUUCGUGGUGUAGCGGUGAAAUGCUUAGAUAUCACGAAGAACCCCGAUUGCGAAGGCAGCUUACUAAACUGUGACUGACAUUGAUGCUCGAAAGUGUGGGUAUCAAACAGGAUUAGAUACCCCUGUAGUC